GAUGAACGCUAGCGGCAGGCCUAACACAUGCAAGUCGAGGGGUAGAAGUUGCUUGCAACUUUGAGACCGGCGCACGGGUGCGUAACGCGUAUGCAAUCUGCCUUGUACUGAGGGAUAGCCCAGCGAAAUUUGGAUUAAUACCCCAUAGUAUUACGAUGUGGCAUCACAAUGUAAUUAAAGUUCCAACGGUACAAGAUGAGCAUGCGUCCCAUUAGUUAGUUGGUAAGGUAACGGCUUACCAAGACGAUGAUGGGUAGGGGUCCUGAGAGGGAGAUCCCCCACACUGGUACUGAGACACGGACCAGACUCCUACGGGAGGCAGCAGUGAGGAAUAUUGGUCAAUGGGCGCAAGCCUGAACCAGCCAUGCCGCGUGCAGGAUGAAGCAUCUAUGGUGUGUAAACUGCUUUUGUACGGGAAGAAACACUCCUACGUGUAGGAGCUUGACGGUACCGUAAGAAUAAGGAUCGGCUAACUCCGUGCCAGCAGCCGCCGUAAGAC
rnacentral:rRNA from 1 species